UGUUUUUUCAAAAACAUCGCUCCCUGUGCACAAUAAAUAGGGAGUCGGACCUGCCCAGUGAAUAUUUUUAACGGCCGCGGUACUCUGACCGUGCAAAGGUAGCAUAAUAAUUUGCCUUAUAAUUGAAGGCUGGUAUGAAUGGUUUGACGAGAAUAAAGCUGUCUCUUUGCAAUUUACUAGAAAUUUAUUUACGGAUGAAAAAGUCCGUAUAACAUUAAAAGACAAGAAGACCCUAUCGAGCUUAAAAAAAUUUAGUGGGUUGAAAAGCGAGCUAUUGGACUUAAAAAGCUAUCUACUAAAAACUUUAGUUGGGGCGACCAAGGAACAAAUAAAGCUUCCUUAAAGUUACGUAUAAUUCCUUUCUUAUUGAUUAUGAUCCAGAAAUUUCUGAUCAAUAGAAUUAGUUACCGUAGGGAUAACAGCAUUAUCUUUUUUGAGAGCUCUUAUCGAAAAAAAGGUUUGUGACCUCGAUGUUGGACCAGAAUGUCCUAAAGAUGCAGCAGUCUUUAAGGGUUGGUCUGUUCGACCAUUAAUAUUCUACGUGAUCUGAGUUCC
rnacentral:rRNA from 1 species